rnacentral:rRNA from 1 species
AAUGAACGCUGGCGGCGUGCCUAACACAUGCAAGUCGAGCGAGAAAGUCUCUUCGGAGAUAAAGUACAGCGGCGGACGGGUGAGUAACGCGUGAGAAUUUACCCUUUAGUGAAGAAUACCUCUGAGAAAUCAGGGUUAAUACUGCAUACGUCCCUACGGGAGAAAGGUGGCCUCUUUGCUGCCGCUAAAGGAUAAGCUUGCGUACUAUUAGCUAGUUGGUGAGGUAAAGGCUCACCAAGGCGAUGAUGGUUAGCCGGCCUGAGAGGGUGUACGGCCACACUGGAACUUAGACACGGUCCAGACUCCUACGGAGGCAGCAGUGAGGAAUAUUGCGCAAUGGGCGAAAGCCUGACGCAGCGACGCCGCGUGGAGGAUGAAGGUCUUCGGAUUGUAAACUCCUGUUAAGUGGAAGAAAGACCUAUUUCUAAUACAGAUAGGGGAUGACGGUA